AACGAACGCUGGCGGCAGCCUAACACAUGCAAGUCGAACGCUGUAGCAAUACAGAGUGGCAGACGGGUGAGUAACACAUGGGAAUCUUCCUAUCGGUACGGAAUAGCUCAGGGAAACUUGGGGUAAUACCGCAUACGCCCUUCGGGGGAAAGAUUUAUCGCCGAUAGAUGAGCCCGCGUCUGAUUAGCUAGUUGGUGAGGUAAUGGCUCACCAAGGCGACGAUCAGUAGCUGGUCUGAGAGGAUGACCAGCCACACUGGGACUGAGACACGGCCCAGACUCCUACGGGAGGCAGCAGUGGGGAAUAUUGGACAAUGGGCGCAAGCCUGAUCCAGCCAUGCCGCGUGAGUGACGAAGGUCUUCGGAUUGUAAAGCUCUUUUGGCGGGGACGAUAAUGACGGUACCCGCAGAAUAAGCCCCGGCUAACUCUGUGCCAGCAGCCGCCGUAA
rnacentral:rRNA from 1 species